CCUACGGGGGGCUGCAGUGGGGAAUAUUGGACAAUGGGGGGAACCCUGAUCCAGCCAUGCCGCGUGUGUGAAGAAGGCCCUCGGGUUGUAAAGCACUUUCAGUGAGGAAGAACGCCUGGUGGUUAAUACCCAUCAGGAAAGACAUCACUCACAGAAGAAGCACCGGCUAACUCCGUGCCAGCAGCCGCGGUAAUACGGAGGGUGCGAGCGUUAAUCGGAAUUACUGGGCGUAAAGCGCGCGUAGGUGGCUUGAUAAGCCGGUUGUGAAAGCCCCGGGCUCAACCUGGGAACGGCAUCCGGAACUGUCAAGCUAGAGUGCAGGAGAGGAAGGUAGAAUUCCCGGUGUAGCGGUGAAAUGCGUAGAGAUCGGGAGGAAUACCAGUGGCGAAGGCGGCCUUCUGGACUGACACUGCCACUGAGGUGCGAAAGCGUGGGUAGCAAACAGGAUUAGAUACCCCAGUAGUC
rnacentral:rRNA from 1 species